UCUUCCAAUAGGGUGCCUUUUGUGUCCCUGUGCCAUAUUUUGGUUAAAAUAACUGAUUAUAUUCAAAAUAAUUAAUACAUCAUAAAGUAUUAAGUAAUUCCUAUACAAAACCACUUAUAAAAACACACUACAUAGCAUUUAAAGUAAAAAAGGCAACAAUAUUUAAAGGAAAAAUCAGCAUUCUCCAAUGUCCCUAUUCAUCUUUUUACAAACUUUUUAAAGAAUAUAAUUAAUUAAAUCCUAAUGUAUUUUUAAAAUCUCACCAGUAUUACAAAACACAACUUAGUACAUUGUUUUUCGACUAUAAAUCUGUACAAUCAAUGUAUAUUUAUUAAUAUAAAUUGAACUAUUUAGUGCUGUCCCUGAAUCCACUGUCAACCCUGUUACCGGAGAUAAACCCCCCUGCAGAACAAUGAAUUAUUCCACAAGUCACAUGAUCUUCAGCAUAUGACAUCAUAAUAAAGGAGGAAGACAUAGGAAGCAACUUCAGGCAACGCAAUCGAAGAAGAACAACAUCUCAAAAGAGAAAAAAGAUACUUCAAGAAUUGGAAGAUCUAAAGGUUUCUUUUAAACAGCAAAAGAAAGUUUUGGAAAAAUAUAAAAAGCGGUACCAACGCUUGCUGUAGAAAAGUGAAUCGCCUAGAGCUAAAACAAACAGGUUGCUGAAGAGCUUUCCUGCAGAAGAUGCAGUUCGGAAAACCCUUCUUUUCCAUCAUUCUUUGAUUGAAGACAUAAAAUUAAAAUAUCACACUUCCAGGAAAGAGAGAGAGAAGCAGAUUCUAUCAAAAAUUGUUCCUGGCAAAAUAGUGAAAAAAUAUCGACUGCAGAAAUUUGCUCAGGAUUCAUUUGAGUUUUCAAAGAAGCGAUGGCAGAGUAACAACAGACAAGUGAAAAUGAAUCCUUCACAUUUGUAAGAAGAAAAGUAAGCAGAGUCACAGAUGAGAUUAAAAUGUGGCCUCCUUUUAUGUCAGAGAUGACGUGAGCCGAAUUACUACGGGAAAGAAGCAAACUAUUACUCAGAACAAAAGAAAAAUGCAGAAGAGAUUUCUGACUGACACCAUGAAGAAUCUUCAUCGAAAGUAUCUAUUGGAGAAUCCAAAUACAUCGAUGUCCUAUGUCCUAUCAAAAUGUUAUGUUUUCAAAUUGAAUUCUUACAGCGCUGUUGUGUACUGUUAUUAUAAAGUUUGUAUUUUUACAUCAACAAUGAUAAUAUGUACAUUUAAAAACAUUAUAGUUCCAUAGUAAAAACAACCUCCCCAAAAAACUUACCUUGUUGUGUUGCAGUUGCAUAGUUUCCAAAAAUCAGCGGUUACUAAUGUAAGACAACAGUCUGUUUAUUGCAAAUUAUAAAUGCAAAUAUUUUUAGGACUGUAUUACAAUGACAUUUGUGACUUCUAUAUCUGUGAAAGCCUGUUAAAAAUAAACAAAAUAACCACUGCA